UGGGGAAUAUUGGACAAUGGGGGCAACCCUGAUCCAGCGACGCCGCGUGAGUGACGAAGGCCUUCGGGUCGUAAAGCUCUUUUCUGCGUGACGAGAGUGGACGGUAGCGCAGGAAGAAGUCUCGGCUAACUACGUGCCAGCAGCCGCGGUAAAACGUAGGAGACAAACGUUAUCCGGAGUUACUGGGCGUAAAGGGCGUGCAGGCGGUUGCUUAAGUUCGGCGUGAAAGCCUCCGGCUAAACCGGGGGAGGUCGUCGGAAACUGGGUAACUCGAGGGUGAUAGAGGCGGGUGGAAUUCCGGGUGUAGUGGUGAAAUGCGUAGAGAUCCGGAGGAACACCAGUGGCGAAGGCGACCCGCUGGGUCACACCUGACGCUGAGACGCGACAGCAUGGGGAGCGAA
rnacentral:rRNA from 1 species